UGGGGAAUUUUGGACAAUGGGCGAAAGCCUGAUCCAGCAAUGCCGCGUGUGUGAAGAAGGCCUUCGGGUUGUAAAGCACUUUUGUCCGGAAAGAAAUCCUCUGGGUUAAUACCUCGGGGGGAUGACGGUACCGGAAGAAUAAGCACCGGCUAACUACGUGCCAGCAGCCGCGGUAAUACGUAGGGUGCAAGCGUUAAUCGGAAUUACUGGGCGUAAAGCGUGCGCAGGCGGUUUUGUAAGACGGAUGUGAAAUCCCCGGGCUUAACCUGGGAACUGCAUUCGUGACUGCAAGGCUAGAGUAUGGCAGAGGGGGGUAGAAUUCCACGUGUAGCAGUGAAAUGCGUAGAGAUGUGGAGGAAUACCGAUGGCGAAGGCAGCCCCCUGGGCCAAUACUGACGCUCAUGCACGAAAGCGUGGGGAGCAAACAGGAUUAGAUACCCUGGUAGUCCACGCCCUAAACGAUGUCAACUAGUUGUUGGGGAUUCAUUUCCUUAGUAACGUAGCUAACGCGUGAAGUUGACCGCCUGGGGAGUACGGUCGCAAGAUUAAAACUUAAAGGAAUUGACGGGGU
rnacentral:rRNA from 1 species